rnacentral:rRNA from 1 species
AUUCUGGACAAUGGGGGCAACCCGUAUCCAGCCAUCCCGGGGUGGCGAGGAAGGCCUUCGGGGCGAAAAGGCCUUUUGGCAGGGAAGGAAAGGCGCAGGCUAAUACCCUGUGCGCCUGACGGUACCUCCAGAAGAAGCACCGGCUAACUACGUACCGGCAGCCGCGGUAAUACGUAGGGUGCAAGCGUUAAGCGGAAUUACUGGGCGUAAACCGUGAGUCGGCGGUUUGGCAAGAAAGGUGUGAAAUCCCAGAUCUUAACUUUGGAACUGCACUUUUAACUGCCAGGCUAGAGUAUGUCAGAGGGGGGUAGAAUUCCGCGUGUAGCAGUGAAAUGCGUAGAGAUGCGGAGGAAUACCGAUGGCGAAGGCAGCCCCCUGGGAUAAUACUGACGCUCAGGCACGAAAGCGUGGGGAGCAAAC